ACACUACUCCCUCCGUCCGAAAAUACUUGUCAUCAAAAUGGAUAAAAAGAGAUGUAUCUAGAACUAAUAUACAUCUAGAUACAUCCCCUUUUGUUCAUUUUGAUGACAAGUAUUUCCGGACGGAGGGAGUACUUG
rnacentral:pre_miRNA from 1 species